CUUUUCUGUACUUGUGUACUUGCGUUCUUGCGAAUCGAGGAUGCAUAGGAGGUGUCUUGUGUGGACUUGGAACAGUUAGAUAUCCCAGGAUGCAUUUCGCAGUAGUACGAUGGCAGACAAUAUCGAGAAGACCCGCAGCUCAGGCACCAACCACCUUGGGGGCAAACAGGCCGGAUCUCCAGAUACCACAGGAAGAUGGCCCGCCAGCGGGUUUUGAGGAUCCCGAAUGACCACUCCACAAUGUUACGCCCUCUGGCGUGGUUGCAUCGGGCUUCAACAUGACCUGGUAAUCAAAAUUCACAUGGAUUUAUCAGUGUCACCAAACUAACAAUUUGUUUCUAUGCAUGUGUGACAGAAGAGAAGGUGCUUACCGGCUACAGGGUGGUAUGGCGUCAUAAUGGCCACGGGACGCUGCAGGCAUGGGUACCCUCCAUCACCCAGCAGGAAGUACCCAGCUGGUGGCAAAACGUUGAUGUGGCAUCCAUCAAUGGCCCCAGCAGCACAUCCAAAGGCCUCGUCACCUGCCAGGCGAGCAAAGCCAGCCCCCACCUCCUCCAUCUCCUCUGCCUUGGGGAGAUGAAUCAUCCUGUGGAGGAUGGCCAUCAUCUCCUCCACCACGCCAUGGACCGUCCUGCAAACUGUGGACAGGGGCAUCCCAAAGGCGUCUGCCGUCACCCUGUACGAUGCUCCACAGGCCAGCCAGUACACCGCCACCAGCACCUCCACCUCAUGGCUCCAUCAAUGGGCUUUUUGCCUGGGGCAGCAAGGCAAGCAACCGGUAGAAGCUCUCCCUGGAGAGCCUGAAGGCUGGCUACAGGUCCCCUCCAGAGAAAAACACAGCUAGUAUUUUAACGUACAAUAAAUUGCAAUUAUGUAUUUAAUAUGUAUUGUCCGCUUUAUAUUUAAACUUUCUACCCUGUGGUAAAAUGACAAAUUCACCCGUUACAGUCAAGUGUAUGUAUCAAUAUUAACUGAUCAAUUGAAAAGUUUAAAACAAGCCGAUAAAACUCGUGAGACAGACAACUGAGGAUGGCUCGUCUCCUUAGUGUCUCCCGCCGUAUCCUAUAGCUCUCUGCUCGACGAUCCGCCUCAGUUGGGCAGCCUCCUUUUCUGCUCGCUGAUAGAGGAAACCCAUCGCAACGGCAAUCCCGGUCAGAUCCAUCCUGUAAUUUGAACAAUGGCAAUAGUCUCCAAAAAUAAUUCCUACAAUAUUUAUCCUGUGUGUGUUUCUAUUCUAAUCUGUGUAAUUUCUCAUAGAACAACAAUAACU
ensembl:lncRNA